rnacentral:rRNA from 1 species
AUUGAACGCUGGCGGCAGGCUUAACACAUGCAAGUCGAACGAGUGGCGGACGGGUGAGUAAUGCUUGGGAAUCUAGCUUAUGGAGGGGGAUAACUACGGUAAACUGUAGCUAAUACCGCGUACCAUAGGAUGAGCCCAAGUGGGAUUAGGUAGUUGGUGAGGUAAAGGCUCACCAAGCCGACGAUCUCUAGCUGGUCUGAGAGGAUGACCAGCCACUCAGGGACUGAGACACGGCCCAGACUCCUACGAGAGGCAACAGUGGGGAAUAUUGCGCAAUGGGGGCAACCUGACGCAGCCAUGCCGCGUGAAUGAAGAAGGACUUAGGGUUGUAGAGUUCUUUCGGUAGAGAGGCGUUCAAUACAGAAGAAGCAGCGGCUGACUCCGUGCCAGCAGGCGCGAUAAUUC